AUUGAACGCUGGCGGCAUGCCUUACACAUGCAAGUCGAACGGCAGCACGGGUGCUUGCCCCUGGUGGCGAGUGGCGAACGGGUGAGUAAUACAUCGGAACAUGUCCUGUAGUGGGGGAUAGCCCGGCGAAAGCCGGAUUAAUACCGCAUACGAUCUACGGAUGAAAGCGGGGGACCUUCGGGCCUCGCGCUAUAGGGUUGGCCGAUGGCUGAUUAGCUAGUUGGUGGGGUAAAGGCCUACCAAGGCGACGAUCAGUAGCUGGUCUGAGAGGACGACCAGCCACACUGGGACUGAGACACGGCCCAGACUCCUACGGGAGGCAGCAGUGGGGAAUUUUGGACAAUGGGCGAAAGCCUGAUCCAGCAAUGCCGCGUGUGUGAAGAAGGCCUUCGGGUUGUAAAGCACUUUUGUCCGGAUAGAAAUCCUUGGCCCUAAUACGGUCGGGGGAUGACGGUACCGGAAGAAUAAGCACCGGCUAACUACGUG
rnacentral:rRNA from 1 species